CUGAGGAUGAAACUGGACUCACCUGGAGGCAGCAGCGCCGACGCUCUUCAAGGGCCCGAUGUAAACGCAGAACAAAAAACAUCUGGAAAAUUCAUUACGGCCUGAAGUUGAGGACAUUUCUCUCCAGAGUCUGCUUUGCUUCUGAAACGGGCUUCCCAUUAACAACACUGAAUGAUUGGGGGUUCCUGAAAAGAGGGUUGAACCAUCAUUAAAAGAAAACAUGGAGAGACGGGGGGGAAAGCGCUCCAUCCGGAAUUGCCACCUCCUCCUCCCACUCCUCACCCUUUUUACCCAAGAGCCUCUAGUGCCAUCUGUACUGCCAACGGGGAACAGUUUGCCCGUGCCAGGAAGCAGACAAAGACUCCUUGUAGUGUGGGCGCGCUCAGAGGAGCCAUCUUGGGAGAUGUUGCUGCGACACCUAAAAUGGCUGGACUGGCAUAUGAGGAUGUGAGAGGAUCUGCAAGGCCUUCUACACUCUCUAGGAACCUGUUUUGGCACAGGAGAUCGUGGACCAAGCUCAAUGAAAUGUUGUCAUCGGAGGCUCUCACCAGAACAUGAGGAAUAUCAGUCACCCACACACUGCAAGAAGAUUUUUAUAAAGGACUGUAGAAGCAAAACCGAUAUUCUGUAAGCCUGAAAUGUAAAACUUGAGGUAUGCCUAUUUUCCAUGAAAAUACCAAGUUAUUUUAAGAUAUUGUAUUAAUGAUAAAGUGUGUGCGAUUAAACAUGUUUACACAAAUGUGUUAUUUUAAAAUUGUGCAAACAAAAAAGACUUAAAUGUUCCAAGGUUUAAUUAAUUCAAUUAUUGAUUCAUGUAUCUCAUGUCUAGAUUGAAAUAGUAAUUAAUAGGAUAUAAAUGCAUUACUGAUUAAGUUUGUUGUUUUAAUUUACUGUUGUCAGUGACAUUUCUUUAAA